rnacentral:rRNA from 1 species
ACACCCCAACAACUAGCCCACCUAAAACCCCCAACAACCAACAUUAAUACCCCCUAAUACACAAAUUUAAACCUAAACAAACCAUUUUUCCCCCAAAGUAUUGGCGAAAGAAAAGGACAACACUAGGCGCAAUAGAAAAAGUACCGCAAGGGAACGUUGAAAAAGAAAUGAAAUAACCAGUAAAGAACAAAAAAGCAGAGCUCUGACCUCGUACCUUUUGCAUCAUGAUUUAGCAAGAACCCCUCAAGCAAAGAGCCCUUUAGUUUGAAACCCCGAAACUAAGAGAGCUACUCCAAGACAGCCUAUCGCAGGGCGAACCCGUCUCUGUAGCAAAAGAGUGGGAAGAACUUUGAGUAGAGGUGAUAAACCUACCGAGCUUAGUUAUAGCUGGUUGCCUGAAAAUUGAAUAGAAGUUCAGCCUUUUAAAUUCUUCAACCAAAUAAGGCCACACCCCCGCCCGGCCAAAAGAUAAUUAAAAGAGUUACUCGAAAGAGGUACAGCUCUCUCGAGAAAAGAUACAACUUUAAAAGAAGGCUAAAGAUCAAAACACCCAAGGAAGCACACCUAAGUGGGCCUAAAAGCAGCCAACCAAAAAGAAAGCGUUAAAGCUCAAGUGUACACACCCUUUAAUUCUGACAAAACAUAUCUAAUACCCCUUAACUUAUCAGGCCUCCUCAUGUAUACAUGGGGGAGUAAAUGCUAAUAUGAGUAAUAAGAGGGCUAAGGCCCUCUCAAACACACCCGUGUAAAUCAGAACGAACCCCCACUGAAAAUUAACGCCCCCAACCCAAGAGGGUAAUGAAUGAAAUUUAGCAAAACAAGAAAACCUCUCAAUCCAAACAGCGUUAGCCCCACACAGGAGUGACCCAAGAAAGACAAAAAGAAAAAGAAGGAACUCGGCAAACAUUAGCCUCGCCUGUUUACCAAAAACAUCGCCUCUUGCCCCUUGAGUAUAAGAGGUCCCGCCUGCCCUGUGACAACUAGUUUAACGGCCGCGGUAUUUUGACCGUGCGAAGGUAGCGUAAUCACUUGUCUUUUAAAUAAAGACCUGUAUGAAUGGCAUAACGAGGGCUUAGCUGUCUCCUUUUUCCAGUCAAUGAAAUUGAUCUGCCCGUGCAGAAGCGGACAUGCUCCCAUAAGACGAGAAGACCCUAUGGAGCUUAAGACACCAGGACAGCCCACGUCAAAACCCUGAACCAUUAGGAAAAAACCAAAUGAUCACUGUCCUCCUGUCUUUGGUUGGGGCGACCGCGGAGAAACAAUUAACCCCCACGUGGAAUAGGCUUUUGCCUUAAAACCAUGAGCCACAGCUCUAAUAAACAGAAAAUCUGACCAAAAAGAUCCGGCAGCGCCGAUCAACGGACCCAGUUACCCUAGGGAUAACAGCGCAAUCCCCUUCCAGAGCCCCUAUCGACAAGGGGGUUUACGACCUCGAUGUUGGAUCAGGACUUCCUAAUGGUGCAGCCGCUAUUAAGGGUUC